AUGACUUAAAAGGUGAGUACUCGUUUCUUUUUUAUGUUAAUAAGUGACACUGAAGCUGGAAGAACAGAGGACUGUAGGAUCACACAGCCAGGGACAAGCCAGUAGCUUAAGUUUUCUUAACCCUUUGACAUCUGCUAUACUACUCAGUAGUGAGUCCUGGCAUCCAUUAUAGCAGUAUGGAAACACUGGCAGACACUUGGCUUAUUUAUCACCUUUUGGUACAACAAUAAGCUACGCCAUAUGCAAAGACUGUGUAUGAGGAAUAUGUAUCUGAUUAUGUAUAGAUAGAUUAAGAGCAAUGCUGGGAUUAAAGGUGUGCUCCACCACGCCCGCCACUCCAUAUUUUCAUUCACAGGUUUCUCCUCAGCCCAUUCUUUCUCCAAAACCUGCCUGUUCUGCAUGGUGUUCUUUGAUCCUCUCACAGUCCUGAUGCUCGCGACCAGGAACACCUGCUCCAAGCUGCUGUGACAUUCACAUUCAGACCCUUACUUGGAAGGCUACCCUCUCUAGUAUCUGGCCAGCUGCAAACUGUUGGGGAAUCAAGGGGAUCUCUCUCUCCCUUCCUCUCCCCAAAAGUUUUUGGUACACCAUUCCCAACUUUUUUUCACAACUUCAUUUGCUCUUGAGACAUCACAAUCCCUGACUGCCUAACAAUCUGGUCUCAACCUCUCCCACACCCCUGUAACUCACCUUGACAUUUCCUGCUGUUGUUAGCUUCUGAUGGCUUCUCACAUUUAUAGUCUGUGUGAGCCUCAGAAAGGCAAGUUUUGUGCAGUUCCAAGCUUCUCCUACUUGAACGAAUUGGGAGUGGGUGCUUUUUUGUUUUGUUUUGUUUUGUUUUUCUAUAAAAGCAGGACAGAGAGAUUUCUCAUUAUUCCAGGGAAACAUCCCCUCACUAGUACAAGAGUACAUUUGCAAACCAGCCUUUCAAAGAGCUAUUUCAAAAGCAAUAAGCAAGUGGUUCCAUGGUGAGGAUUACAAACACACCCUCAGGGUCAGUCAAGGGUGAGGAGGACAGUUCUACUAUGACAAGACACAUUGGGCCAGACUCCGUGGGAGAGUGUCAGACAUACAUCUUUAAAGUGCUGUAUCACAAACAGCUUAGAUGCAAGCAAAGGAGAGCUACUUAAAGAAACUAGGUGUAGAUAUCAUGAAGGUGUUGAUUCAAAAGAUGCUUGUGGAGAAUUUGAAGCUAAUUGUUAACUUAAUGUGAGAAUGGGGAAAAGCAAUAUUUUGUAUUAUUGUAAUAUAUAUAUAUAUUGUUAUUUUAAAAUAAGCAUGUAUAAUUAAAUAAAUUAGAUAUUAUAAAUAGA
rnacentral:lncRNA from 1 species